AGUAUAUUACCGAGUCUCCGCCGCUCCUACCACCCUCGACUAGUGGCCCCAUUACUAUAUUCAUUGUGUAAAGACUUAGGGAAACGCUCAUAGGUUCAGAGCUUUAUUCUCUCAGUUUUACUUGAGUUUGUUUUGUUACAUAAGUGAUACAAAUUGUAAAGGCUAUCAAGAUGUAAUAAGAAAAACGUGAUAAUAUUCUCUCUUGCCCCAUCACCACUCCGCUCCUUUCAGAAAAGAUUCCCCAGGCCGGGCGCUUUGUGUCCGAGGCGGGAGGAUUGCUAGAGCCCAGGAGUUCCAGACCAGCCUGGGCAACACGGCGAAACGCCAUCUCGACUAAAAAUACAAGGUAAAAAAAAAAAAAAAAAAGCCAGGCGUGGUAGUUCGCGUCUGUGGUCCCAGCAACUCCGCAGCUGAGGCGGGGGGAGGAUCGCUUGAGCCCCGGUGGCAGAGGCUUCAGUGAGAGGAGAUCGCGCCACUGCACUCCAGCCUAAGUGACCGAGCGAGACUCCGUCUCAAAAACAAAACAAAACAAAAAACAAAAAGAAAAGAUUUCCCAAAAUGGAAUUUGAG
rnacentral:lncRNA from 10 species